GUGCGCCUAGGGCUAAUCUAUUCGUGCGCUCUGUGUUCUCGCCGCAUAGUUUGAGUUUUAGCACAGAAUCAGCACAAAGGACACAUGGCUCGCUGCUGCUGCGGCGCUUCAUCACGCCAGAGUUUUCAGAGCAAGUGUCCGCGGUCAUCGAGUGAGGUGUGUUCGUGUUCACCUGUCGGCACGUGACCCCAUAUGCUUGUUAAUUUAGAAGCAAGAUGAUGGACACCAAGUGCGCUAACGUACCUGCCGAAUGUCAAUAAUUCAGGCCACCGAAAUUUACUUUGAGUUCUCAGCCAACGCAAAAAAGAUGUUUUCAGCCGAGCUCUAACGAGCAGGAGCGAAAACCCGCGGCAUUUUCUGGAGCGUAUUAGGUAUGAUGAACAUCUCAUGCUUCAAUAUCGUCAUCACUUUUGCUGUUUUCACCAGCCUUUUGGAAACAACGGAAAAGGGAGGUACCUCCUGUGCACACGCAUAUAGAUUGCAUGACGAUAGAAUGCACACACAUCCAACGGGGCAAGACCCUGCCACACAGAAAAAAAGUAGUCCACCAGCCAUUAGCAACGCAACGAUGUCUGCACAUGGAAACAGUGCACACCAGCCGAGGAGCAGAAAGAAAAGAAGCAACCCUCUCGGGAAGAUCGUUCGUAAUUUAGGAAAAAUGUGUGAAGGUUGCGCGGGCGGGCGUUGAGCACCAAUGCCACAAAAGUAGAACAAU